UGACAAAUAGCCCUAGAACCUUGUAGUGCUGCAAUCGCACUGCAGAGGUCGUGAGUUCGAAUCUCAUUAUCUCCACCA
rnacentral:tRNA from 1 species